CUAAUUUAACUUUGUUUUCGUUCAAAAAAAUUACGACGUCGCUUUAGAUAAUUGAUUUUAGAAUAAUAUAUUACUGAUUGUUGUUAAUAGAUCGUGAAUUGAUCAUUUUCCAGUUUAUUAAUUCCUGAUUAUAUCAAAAAAGACUUUGGAGUAUAAUUCACUAAUUACUGACUACCUGACCGAUUGUCAAAAAAUUAACCAAACUAUUAAUAGAAACCAGUCUUUUUCUCUGGGAGCUAGCCAGGUUGUCCUAUAGCUAUCCCACACUGGUUGACUUCCGAGUAUAAUUUGAUCAAAGAAGGGGAAUCAACAUUAUUGAAGUUUAUGUUAAUGAUUAUGCAUUCGAGAGAGGGUGCUAAUUGAUGUUUCGGAAAUAUUGGAUAAUUAAGUGGAGAAAGAAGAGUAUUUAAAAAAAAAAAAAAAAAGAGGGACGAAUGUGUUGGAUAUCAACAGAAGAUACACACACAGGAUGAGAGAGGACCUUCAGAAGUGGCGAAAGAUGAAGAGAGGAAGAGAGAGAGAGAGAGAGAAAUGUCGUCAUCUCUCACCCAGUACAGGCUUCUCAUUGACCAGUACUGCGGCUCUAUUGAUUUCCUGCUGAGGGUGAACUACCAAAGCAAAAGGGAGGAUUAGAUAUUGCUAUAUAUAUAUGGUAUAGCCCAGCAACACAAUUUUUACUUGAAUCUCCGUUUGGAAUGGUUUCUGACUCCGUGGUUCUUGUCUUGAACGAUCGCAUCCGAUAUAAUAAGAACUCGUCUCUUCCACAUAGAUAUACAUACAUAUGUGUUUGUAAUUUUACGUGUAUGUGUACUCUUUUAUUGACUCCAUUUCGAUAUUGUCGGCGCUGUGCGGCGCAACAUGCUCCAUUCCCAAUAACAAAUUAGACUUAAUUUCAAUAUCAAUGAUAAAAAAAAGUCAUUAAAAAAAAAUUGCAACUAAAUAUUGCUAAAUCAAUCAAAAGCGUCAAAUAUUUUUAAAAUAAAAAUUACUUUUUUUUACAUAAAUUUUUAAAAUGAUAAUUAUUUUUUUAUUGUAAAUAAAAAAGAAAUAAAAAUAAAAGUUGAAAAUUGUG